UAGUACACUGUCGUGGUUAUGUGUGCUGCUCCGUUCUGUAUAUAAUGCUUCAAAACGAAACAUAUAUAUACACGAGCUUUAGACGACUAGACUGCAUGUGCUUCGACGCAAUUUAAAAUUUUAGAGGGGUAUUUAUGUUGCGGUUAGGUGACUAAUUCAAGCUCAUUACAGACAACGACCCAAAUUGCGUACAUUACGUUAGAUGGACCCUAAUCUACAAUUUGAAACAACGACUAUUUUCGUCUGAAAUUUGGUCGAUGGCAAAAUAUAGCCCCCUUAACAAUAACAGACACUACCAUCAGAUGUGUACUUACAACAUCUAAGUUCUAGUCAUGAAGAGUUUAUAUACACACAAGUCUUGUUGACGUAAACUCUGAAUUUGCGCUAAGAGUUUUUUUCCUCUAAAUAAGAGGAAACCGCACAUUGUUUUGAUGUUACACGGAAUGAGUAAUAUCGUCAAACCACGAACAGCUUUUCGUUGUUUGUUUAGUGCAUCUACGCUGGUAGUGGUGUGCGAUUCUAUUUAGAAUAUAGCGAGACUGCAACAAAAACAUGUUAAAAAAUAUGACCAAUAUGAGCACAUAUAACACAACCAGUCACUACACCAUUAGAGCAGUUUUCUUCCAGCCGGACGGGUAGUCGGUUCGGUUGAAAUUGCAUCUUGCCGGUUAAUAUAAUACUUAUAAUAAAAAAAAUUCUCAUACCCAUUCGAUCUGCGUUUUUCGUGUGAUUUUCAAGUUAGAAUUAUUGCGAUUAAAUGAAACGCAAUUUUACUAUUUUUGCAUAUGGUUGACCUUUUAUGUAGACUGUUUAUAAAUUGAAGCAGUUUUAUAGUUGAUUCGAUUGUUGUGCGUUUUAAAGGAGUUAAAUGCAAAGAAAAAUAUUAGCUUGCUAAACAAUCCGAAUCCCUGUUAACACAUGUGACGUGUUUAGGUUGGUUCGGCGUUUUUAACAUAUGCUCAAACGAAUAAAAAAACAAGAAGAACAAAAAAAAAUUACUGAAUGACGG